rnacentral:rRNA from 1 species
UCGUCACACUAUCGUUAACUGAAUACAUAGGUUAACGAGGCGAACCGGGGGAACUGAAACAUCUAAGUACCCCGAGGAAAAGAAAUCAACCGAGAUUCCCCCAGUAGCGGCGAGCGAACGGGGAGCAGCCCAGAGUCUGAAUCAGCUUGUGUGUUAGUGGAACGGUCUGGAAAGUCCGACGGUACAGGGUGAUAGUCCCGUACACCAAAAUGCACAGGUUGUGAACUCGAAGAGUAGGGCGGGACACGUGGUAUCCUGUCUGAAUAUGGGGGGACCAUCCUCCAAGGCUAAAUACUCCUGACUGACCGAUAGUGAACCAGUACCGUGAGGGAAAGGCGAAAAGAACCCCGGCGAGGGGAGUGAAAAAGAACCUGAAACCGUGUACGUACAAGCAGUGGGAGCACCUUCGGGUGUGACUGCGUACCUUUUGUAUAAUGGGUCAGCGACUUAUAUUCUGUAGCAAGGUUAACCGUAUAGGGGAGCCGCAGGGAAACCGAGUCUUAACUGGGCGUUAAGUUGCAGGGUAUAGACCCGAAACCCGGUGAUCUAGCCAUGGGCAGGUUGAAGGUUGGGUAACACUAACUGGAGGACCGAACCGACUAAUGUUGAAAAAUUAGCGGAUGACUUGUGGCUGGGGGUGAAAGGCCAAUCAAACCGGGAGAUAGCUGGUUCUCCCCGAAAGCUAUUUAGGUAGCGCCUCGUGAACUCAUCUUCGGGGGUAGAGCACUGUUUCGGCUAGGGGGUCAUCCCGACUUACCAACCCGAUGCAAACUACGAAUACCGAAGAAUGUUAUCACGGGAGACACACGGCGGGUGCUAACGUCCGUCGUGAAGAGGGAAACAACCCAGACCGCCAGCUAAGGUCCCAAAGUCAUGGUUAAGUGGGAAACGAUGUGGGAAGGCACAGACAGCCAGGAUGUUGGCUUAGAAGCAGCCAUCAUUUAAAGAAAGCGUAAUAGCUCACUGGUCGAGUCGGCCUGCGCGGAAGAUGUAACGGGGCUAAACCAUGCACCGAAGCUGCGGCAGCGACACUAUGUGUUGUUGGGUAGGGGAGCGUUCUGUAAGCCUGCGAAGGUGUGCUGUGAGGCAUGCUGGAGGUAUCAGAAGUGCGAAUGCUGACAUAAGUAACGAUAAAGCGGGUGAAAAGCCCGCUCGCCGGAAGACCAAGGGUUCCUGUCCAACGUUAAUCGGGGCAGGGUGAGUCGACCCCUAAGGCGAGGCCGAAAGGCGUAGUCGAUGGGAAACAGGUUAAUAUUCCUGUACUUGGUGUUACUGCGAAGGGGGGACGGAGAAGGCUAUGUUAGCCGGGCGACGGUUGUCCCGGUUUAAGCAUGUAGGCUGGUUGUCCAGGCAAAUCCGGAUAAUCAAGGCUGAGGUGUGAUGACGAGGCACUACGGUGCUGAAGUAACAAAUGCCCUGCUUCCAGGAAAAGCCUCUAAGCAUCAGGUAACAUUAAAUCGUACCCCAAACCGACACAGGUGGUCAGGUAGAGAAUACCAAGGCGCUUGAGAGAACUCGGGUGAAGGAACUAGGCAAAAUGGUGCCGUAACUUCGGGAGAAGGCACGCUGGUGUGUAGGUGAAGUCCCUGCGGAUGGAGCUGAGACCAGUCGAAGAUACCAGCUGGCUGCAACUGUUUAUUAAAAACACAGCACUGUGCAAACACGAAAGUGGACGUAUACGGUGUGACGCCUGCCCGGUGCCGGAAGGUUAAUUGAUGGGGUUAUCCGUAAGGAGAAGCUCUUGAUCGAAGCCCCGGUAAACGGCGGCCGUAACUAUAACGGUCCUAAGGUAGCGAAAUUCCUUGUCGGGUAAGUUCCGACCUGCACGAAUGGCGUAAUGAUGGCCAGGCUGUCUCCACCCGAGACUCAGUGAAAUUGAACUCGCUGUGAAGAUGCAGUGUACCCGCGGCAAGACGGAAAGACCCCGUGAACCUUUACUAUAGCUUGACACUGAACAUUGAGCCUUGAUGUGUAGGAUAGGUGGGAGGCUUUGAAGCGUGGACGCCAGUCUGCGUGGAGCCAACCUUGAAAUACCACCCUUUAAUGUUUGAUGUUCUAACGUUGGCCCCUGACCGGGGUUGCGGACAGUGUCUGGUGGGUAGUUUGACUGGGGCGGUCUCCUCCCAAAGCGUAACGGAGGAGCACGAAGGUUAGCUAAUCCUGGUCGGACAUCAGGAGGUUAGUGCAAUGGCAUAAGCUAGCUUGACUGCGAGCGUGACGGCGCGAGCAGGUGCGAAAGCAGGUCAUAGUGAUCCGGUGGUUCUGAAUGGAAGGGCCAUCGCUCAACGGAUAAAAGGUACUCCGGGGAUAACAGGCUGAUACCGCCCAAGAGUUCAUAUCGACGGCGGUGUUUGGCACCUCGAUGUCGGCUCAUCACAUCCUGGGGCUGAAGUAGGUCCCAAGGGUAUGGCUGUUCGCCAUUUAAAGUGGUACGCGAGCUGGGUUUAGAACGUCGUGAGACAGUUCGGUCCCUAUCUGCCGUGGGCGCUGGAGAAUUGAGGGGGGCUGCUCCUAGUACGAGAGGACCGGAGUGGACGCAUCACUGGUGUUCGGGUUGUCAUGCCAAUGGCACUGCCCGGUAGCUAAAUGCGGAAGAGAUAAGUGCUGAAAGCAUCUAAGCACGAAACUUGCCCCGAGAUGAGUUCUCCCUGAGACUAUAAGUCUCCUGAAGGAACGUUAAAGACGAUGACGUUGAUAGGCCGGGUGUGUAAGCGCAGCGAUGCGUUGAGCUAACCGGUACUAAUGAACCGUGAGGCUUAACCUU